AUGCAAGUCGAGGGGCAGCAUAAUGGAUAGCAAUAUCUAUGGUGGCGACCGGCGCACGGGUGCGUAACGCGUAUGCAACCUACCUUUAACAGGGGGAUAACACUGAGAAAUUGGUACUAAUACCCCAUAAUAUCAUAGAAGGCAUCUUUUAUGGUUGAAAAUUCCGAUGGUUAGAGAUGGGCAUGCGUUGUAUUAGCUAGUUGGUGGGGUAACGGCUCACCAAGGCGACGAUACAUAGGGGGACUGAGAGGUUAACCCCCCACACUGGUACUGAGACACGGACCAGACUCCUACGGGAGGCAGCAGUGAGGAAUAUUGGUCAAUGGACGCAAGUCUGAACCAGCCAUGCCGUGUGCAGGAUGACGGCUCUAUGAGUUGUAAACUGCUUUUGUACGAGGGUAAACGCAGAUACGUGUAUCUGUCUGAAAGUAUCGUACGAAUAAGGAUCGGCUAACUCCGUGCCAGCAGCCGCGGUAAUACGGAGGAUUCAAGCGUUAUCCGGAUUUAUUGGGUUUAAAGGGUGCGUAGGCGGUUUGAUAAGUUAGAGGUGAAAUUUCGGGGCUCAACCCUGAACGUGCCUCUAAUACUGUUGAGCUAGAGAGUAGUUGCGGUAGGCGGAAUGUAUGGUGUAGCGGUGAAAUGCUUAGAGAUCAUACAGAACACCGAUUGCGAAGGCAGCUUACCAAACUAUAUCUGACGUUGAGGCACGAAAGCGUGGGGAGCAAACAGGAUUAGAUACCCUGGUAGUCCACGCAGUAAACGAUGAUAACUCGUUGUCGGCGAUACACAGUCGGUGACUAAGCGAAAGCGAUAAGUUAUCCACCUGGGGA
rnacentral:rRNA from 1 species